rnacentral:rRNA from 1 species
UGGCGGACGGGUGAGUAAUGUCUGGGAAACUGCCCGAUGGAGGGGGGUAACUACUGGAAACGGUAGCUAAUACCGCAUAACGUCGCAAGACCAAAGAGGGGGACCUUAGGGCCUCUUGCCAUCGGAUGUGCCCAGAUGGGAUUAGCUAGUAGGUGGGGUAACGGCUCACCUAGGCGACGAUCCCUAGCUGGUCUGAGAGGAUGACCAGCCACACUGGAACUGAGACACGGUCCAG